GACGAACGCUGGCGGCGUGCUUAACACAUGCAAGUCGAACGGACAGACAGAGAGCUUGCUCUCUUGAAGUUAGUGGCGAACGGGUGAGUAACGCGUAAUCAACCUGCCCUUCAGAGGGGGAUAACAACGGGAAACCGUUGCUAAUACCGCGUACGAUUCAUGAACGGCAUCGUUUAUGAAUGAAAGGUGGCCUCUAUGUAUAAGCUAUCGCUGAAGGAGGGGGUUGGGUCUGAUUAGCUAGUUGGAGGGGUAACGGCCCACCAAGGCAAUGAUCAGGAGCCGGUCUGAGAGGAUGAACGGCCACAUUGGGACUGAGACACGGCCCAAACUCCUACGGGAGGCAGCAGUGGGGAAUCUUCCGCAAUGGACGAAAGUCUGACGGAGCAACGCCGCGUGAGUGAUGAAGGUCUUCGGAUUGUAAAGCUCUGUUACUCGGGACGAAAGAGUUCUGCGUGAAUAAUGCAGAAAAGUGACGGUACCGGAAUAGAAAGCCACGGCUAACUACGUGCCAGCCGCCGCGGUAA
rnacentral:rRNA from 1 species